rnacentral:rRNA from 1 species
AUUGAACGCUGGCGGCAGGCCUAACACAUGCAAGUCGAACGGUAACAGGAAGACGCUUGCUUCUUUGCUGACGAGUGGCGGACGGGUGAGUAAUGUCUGGGAAACUGCCUGAUGGAGGGGGAUAACUACUGGAAACGGUAGCUAAUACCGCAUAACGUCGCAAGACCAAAGAGGGGGACCUUCGGGCCUCUUGCCAUCGGAUGUGCCCAGAUGGGAUUAGCUAGUAGGUGGGGUAACGGCUCACCUAGGCGACGAUCCCUAGCUGGUCUGAGAGGAUGACCAGCCACACUGGAACUGAGACACGGUCCAGACUCCUACGGGAGGCAGCAGUGGGGAAUAUUGCACAAUGGGCGAAAGCCUGAUGCAGCCAUGCCGCGUGUAUGAAGAAGGCCUUCGGGUUGUAAAGUACUUUCAGCGGGGAGGAAGGGAGUAAAGUUAAUACCUUUGCUCACUGACGUUACCCGCAGAAGAAGCACCGGCUAACUCCGUG